rnacentral:rRNA from 1 species
CACUAUGCUCAGCCGUAAACUUAGAUAAAACUUUACAUAACUUAUCCGCCAGGGUACUACGAGCAUUAGCUUGAAACCCAAAGGACUUGGCGGUGCUUCAAACCCACCUAGAGGAGCCUGUUCUAGAACCGAUAAUCCCCGUUAAACCUCACCCUCUCUUGUUCUUCCCGCCUAUAUACCGCCGUCGUCAGCCUACCCUGUGAAGGCCUCAUAGUGAGCAUAAUCAGUAAAACUUAAAACGCCAGGUCGAGGUGUAGCAUAUGAGAGGGGAAGAAAUGGGCUACAUUCCCUAAAUCCGGGCACACGGAUAGUAUAAUGAAAAGUAUACUAGAAGGAGGAUUUAGCAGUAAGCAGUAAAUAGAGUGUCCUGCUGAAACUGGCCCUGAAGCGCGCACACACCGCCCGUCACCCUCCCCAAAACCCCUAAAAAGACUAAAUAAAACCACUAAUCUAAUAAAGGGGAGGCAAGUCGUAA